rnacentral:lncRNA from 1 species
CAAACUCUCCCCUGGUUGUGGCUCUGGCUGCGGGCACCACCAGCCACCCCCUCCCCGACCGAUGUCCUCCACAUCUAUGCUGAUAUGCUAGGCAGCUUCUCCAGGGGCCCCACUCCAGGGAGCCCUAACCAAGCAGACAUCUUGAUGGUCUACGCAGCCACUGAAGGCCUGACUGAGCCCGCGGCUACCAAGGGGGUGCUGACCGUGGGUGGCCACACACCAACGCCACCCCUGACCCCAUCCGCUCCUCG